rnacentral:miRNA from 14 species
CCAACACUUGGGUGCCUGAGAGGGUGACCUGGAUGAGAAGGAUGAGGAUCCUGCAUCGGCUUCUCAGGAGAUACUGGGAA